GUGCUCCCUUCAUCAGUACAUAUACUAAAACUGGAACGAUACAGAGAUUUACACGGCACCUGUGCAAGGAUGAUACGCAAAUUCGUGAAGCGAUCAUCCUCACACCUUU